UACGUAGGGUGCGAGCGUUAAUCGGAAUUACUGGGCGUAAAGGGUGCGCAGGCGGCGUCGCAAGUCAGGCGUGAAAUCCCCGGGCUUAACCUGGGAACUGCACUUGAAACUACGAUGCUGGAGUAUGGCAGAGGGAGGUGGAAUUCCACGUGUAGCGGUGAAAUGCGUAGAUAUUCGCAAGAACACCAGUGGCGAAGGCGGCUCACUGGCCCGGUACUGACGCUGAGGUGCGAAAGCGUGGGGAGCAAACAGG
rnacentral:rRNA from 1 species